GCGCCAGUAGCUCAGUGGAUAGAGCACCGCUCUCCUAAAGCGGGUGUCGGGAGUUCGAAUCUCCCCUGGCGCA
rnacentral:tRNA from 1 species